rnacentral:rRNA from 1 species
GAGAGCCUGAACCAGCCAAGUAGCGUGCAGGAUGACGGCCUUAUGGGUUGUAAACUGCUUUUAUGCGAGGAUAAAGUUACCCACGUGUGGGUGUUUGCAGGUAUCGCAUGAAUAAGGACCGGCUAAUUCCGUGCCAGCAGCCGCGGUAAUACGGAAGGUUCUGGCGUUAUCCGGAUUUAUUGGGUUUAAAGGGAGCGUAGGCUGUUUUUUAAGCGUGUUGUGAAAUGUACCGGCUCAACCGGUGAUGUGCAGCGCGAACUGGAAGACUUGAGUGUGUUGUAAGUAGGCGGAAUUCGUGGUGUAGCGGUGAAAUGCUUAGAUAUCACGAGGAACUCCGAUUGCGUAGGCAGCUUACUGUCUCACUACUGACGCUGAUGCUCGAAAGCGCGGGUAUCGAACAGGAUUAGAUACCCUGGUAGUCCGCGCGGUAAACGAUGGAUGCUCGUUGUUGGUAUAUAUAUAUCAGUGACUUAGCGAAAGCGUUAAGCAUCCCACCUGGGGGAGUACGCCGGCAACGGUGAAACUCAAAGGAAUUGACGGGGGCCCGCACAAGCGGAGGAACAUGUGGUUUAAUUCGAUGAUACGCGAGGAACCU